UGAGUCAAGAAGGGGAUGAUGAUCUAAUUCGAUUUAUCCUUGUUAUCUAACCACUCUUUAGCACCAUUCUAGACUUACUGAUUGCAAAUAGUACUAAAGAUACUAAAGUGGACCAACCUGUCAGCUAUGACAACACUUUUUAUGAUUGUCUGGUAAAACCAAAGCUGAUUUCCAACCUAACCUGACAUCUUUUGCUUGUCUUGGGGCUUGGUAUACAAAGGAUCGGAAUCCUCCUGCAAGUCUGGAAGGUAAAAGUCUGUACACUUUUGGUUCC
rnacentral:lncRNA from 1 species